rnacentral:rRNA from 1 species
GAUGAACGCUGGCGGCGUGCCUAAUACAUGCCAGUCGAGCGAACAGACGAGGAGCUUGCUCCUCUGACGUUAGCGGCGGACGGGUGAGUAACACGUGGAUAACCUACCUAUAAGACUGGGAUAACUUCGGGAAACCGGGGCUAAUACCGGAUAAUAUAUUGAACCGCAUGGUUCAAUAGUGAAAGACGGUUUUGCUGUCACUUAUAGCUGGAUCCGCGCCGCAUUAGCUAGUUGGUAAGGUAACGGCUUACCAAGGCAACGAUGCGUAGCCGACCUGAGAGGGUGAUCGGCCACACUGGAACUGAGACACGGUCCAGACUCCUACGGGAGGCAGCAGUAGGGAAUCUUCCGCAAUGGGCGAAAGCCUGACGGAGCAACGCCGCGUGAGUGAUGAAGGUCUUCGGAUCGUAAAACUCUGUUAUUAGGGAAGAACAAAUGUGUAAGUAACUAUGCACGUCUUGACGGUACCUAAUCAGAAAGCCACGGCUAACUACGUG